UAACUUAGGGCACCACUCAAUUCUGAAGAGUGCACAGCACUUCCAAGGUUACACUCUGGCCACCAGCCUUGACCCUCCCAAAGUACCCAGCAAUCUGAAAACUCCUGUUCAACAAAAGCUUUUCCCAGACAUCCAGCUCCCCUCAAUUCUUUCCAUAUGCUUUGGGGGUAGAAUUAAAUGUUCUUCUCUCUCUUCCUUUUUGUAGGUUUUUAGGUAGCCAGACUAUAUCCUGAAACUAUUACAGACGCUGUCCUGAGUUAACCCAUUAGCACAAACUCAGAUAUACCUGAGAGGCAAUGUGAUAAAGAGCAAAGACCACUUCUUAGCUCUCCAAAGUCGUGAGUGUUUUCUGAGCACUGUGCCACAAGCCAGGAGGUGGUUUUUUUUUUGUUUGUUUUGUUUUGUUUUGUUUUUGUUUUUUGUUUUUGUUUUAAUGCACAGCAGUUUCUGUGAGUGUGGCUGCUAUCUGUCCUUUCACAUAACAUCAGUCAGCUUUUGGUGUGUUACUUUUCAUCAUUCUCCAUUUAUUUUAUGUUCUAGCCUUUCUUACUUUGGGCAGGAAAAUCAAGCACACAAUGUAUAAAAUGACUAGGAAAAGGGUGCAUUUUCGACCUACACAGUAUCACUCUUAACUAAAUUAACCAAGUAUGUGUCCUCAACUUCCUGUCUACAAUGUUACCCGGUGACCACCUGCUGAAGCAGUUUCUCACAUACAGUACGCGAUUUGCAUUCCUUAAGUUGAUGUUUUCAUAUAAUUCUUAAUAUUUGAGAUUUGUUCUCACGUUCCUUGUUUCUCAUUUGAAAUCUCCAAGGAAUGGUUCAGUCUGCAAAGCUCUCGCCAGGGGAGAUGCAGGUAUGGGAACUACAGUGAUUCCUGAGCAUGAUGUCUAUUCACAUUGUUGUGUUUCUAGCGUCCGUACUGUGGAAACCCAUCACUUAAAAAGUAUCUUUGUCUCUCUUAGUAGUUAUCAAUGUAGAUACACAACUAUGAUCACUCCAGACUGUUAUUAGUAGGCUUCCUGAUGUUACAUUGAACACCAUGACCAAAAACAAUUUGAGGAGGAAGGGGUUUAUUUGGCUUAAACUACUCAGUCACACUUUUAUCCCUGAGGGAAGUCAGAGCAGAAACUCAGGUUAAAACUGAAGCAGAAACAAUUGAAGACUACUUAUUACUGCUUUCUCUCCCUUUGGCUUGCUUGGCUAGGUUUUGUGUAAAGCCUAGGGCUACGUACCUUGGGAACCAGAUGCUCACAGAAGGCUGGGCACUCCCAUAUCAGUCACCAGUGAAGGCAAUUCCCCCUAGACAUGCCCACGGGACAUGUCUUCCAUUCUUCAUUGAGGUUCUGUCUUCCCAGGUGACGUGAGUUUUUAUCAAGUUGAUAAUAAAAAUGACAAGUACACAGGUGUCAUAUAGUUUAUGGUCUAUGAAAUACUCAUUCCUUGCUUAUGUAUAAGUCAAAAAACAUCUGGGUUGCUAAGUUUUAUGUGAAGUUCACAUAAGCUAGAGUCAUUGAGGAAGAGGAACUAGCAACUGAAAAAAACAAAAAAAGAUGCUGUCAUAAACUUUGCCUGUAGGCAAACUAGUGGGGCAUUUUUUUGUGUUUCUUUUGUUUUGUUUCUAUUAGUGAAAUUGAUGUUAGAGAGCCUAUUCCAUUGUGGAUGGUACUACCACUCAGAAUGUGGUCCAGAGUUGUAUAAGAAAACAGGCUAAGCAAGCCUUGAGAGAGAAAAUAAGCACACUAAUAAGUGGCCUCUGUAAAGUGGCUAAUAAGUGGCUAGUCCAUGGCCUUUAUGAAAGCUCUUGCCUGCAGGCUACUGACUUGUAUUCCUGGACUGAUUUCUCUAGCUAAUGAACUACAACAUGUACAAAGAAAUAAAUUCUUUCCUCCCUAAGUUGCUACUGUCCAAGCUGUUUUAUGAUAACAAUGGAUACCCUAAGACGGUAUCAGAGAAUUUAUGGCUUCUUUAUUGGUAGAAGAGCAUCUGUAUGUGAAUGUGUUCCUUUUCAUAUUCAUCGAGAGAACUGCAAAAGUUAUAAUGAAAGCUAUUCAGAGAGUUGACUGGAUAAUGCCUUCUUGUCAAAAUUGAAGCCAAGGUAAAACUAAAACAAACCAUCUGCAUCCAAUUCUUAUUUUCUUCUAUGAUUCCUCAAAUCAGAGAAAGCAGGCUCCUUGGAGACAUGAUUGGCUCCAGGUCCAGAGCUGGAGGAAUAGAGAAUGAGGAAUAAACUGAGAGAAUCUUAUAGGACUAGAAAGUAAUGCCAAGUGAUUCAACACUAAGUGGUGAAGACUCGGAGACAAUCACAGCCAAUCCAAAUAAGUUCCAUGGCCAAAUAGGAAAUUCUUUGGGAAAUGAAAUAAACAAUGUAGUAAUGAGUCAUAGCCUAUAAUACAAUACAAUAUAAAGAUCCAUGAAUCCAUACUCAUGAACAUGGAUAAAUGCUUAGAUAUUGUAUAGUAAGGACUUAUAAGUGUUUUGUACAGCAACUAGCUAAUCACUGAGAUAAGGUUUCAUUUCCACCCUUUUAAUGAGAACUGAACUUGUUAUCUUGCCUUCAACAAAUAUAAUAUGAAAAGUCCAGACCUUACCUUUGUGGUUAUCUUACUUCAAAUUUCAAAUUUACAAGUUCAGUACAAUUUACCUUUCAUUUAAAAAAAAAUAAUAAUAAAAGCAUAUCGAACACACAUUGAGAAACCAACUAGAAAACACCAAUACCUCUUAAAUUGUUUUUUUUUUUAAGUAAGGCAAAAUAAAGAAAACCAAAUAAAAAUCAUAGGUGAGGCAACACCAAAGGGAUGUGACAAUUGAACAUAUUGUCACCUCCUAGGUUAUAUUGAGAGGAGAAGGGAACUGGGAGAGAGAAUGAAACACCUAUAAAUAAAUUGUGGAAUUCAGGCAAUAUUUGUUAUUAGUGGUGUACUAGUGGAGAUAAAUACACCAUCGAAAUAUUGUAAGAUCUUAAACUAAAUUGGGGCUGAGUCUAUGGCAAACAUCUGUAAUUAUCUUUACACCUUCUAUGUAAUCAACUAGGAACCAGAAUUUUUUUCUUACUGAAAAAAAAAAAGACAAGUUAAUU
rnacentral:lncRNA from 1 species